rnacentral:rRNA from 1 species
UGAGGAAUAUUGGGCAAUGCCCGCAAGGGUGACCCAGCAACGCCGCGUGGAGGAUGAAUGUCGUAAGAUUGUAAACUCCUGUUAGAGGGGAAGAAUAGUACCGGUUGGACCGGUAUAUGACUGUACCCUCAGAGAAAGCCCCGGCUAACUACGUGCCAGCAGCCGCGGUAAUACGUAGGGGGCAAGCGUUGUCCGGAUUUACUGGGUGUAAAGGGCGCGCAGGCGGGAUAAAAAGUCAGUGGUGAAAUCCUACAGCUUAACUGUAGAACUACCUUUGAUACUUUUAUUCUUGAGUUCGGGAGAGAGAGACGGAAUUCCAGGUGUAGUGGUGAAAUACGUAGAUAUCUGGAAGAACACCAGUUGCGAAGGCGGUCUCUUGGUCCGACACUGACGCUGAGGCGCGAAAGCGUGGGGAGCAAACA